ensembl:misc_RNA Metazoa_SRP Metazoan signal recognition particle RNA
GCCAGGCGCAGUGGCUCACGCCUGUAAUCCUAACACUGUGGGAGGCUGAGGUGGGGGGAUCACCUGAGGUCAGGAGUUCAUGACCAGCCUGGCCAACAUGGUGAAACCCCAUCUCUA